rnacentral:rRNA from 1 species
GCUAAACAUCUAGCCCAAGCCCCCCCAUAUGCCCCCGCCCCUUCUUCCUAUUCCAUACCAAAACAUUUUCUAAGUUUAGUAAAGGCGAUUAAAAAACCUCUUGGAGCCAUAAAAAUAGUACCGCAAGGGAAAGAUGAAAUAAAAAUGAAACAACUCUUAAGCAUAAAAAAGUAAAGCUUAACUCUUGUACCUUUUGCAUCAUGGUUUAACUAGUCUAACCAAGCAAAAUGAUCUUUAGUUUGAACCCCCGAACCUAAGCGAGCUACCUUAAAACAGCUCCACUGGAGCGCACCCGUCUCUGUUGCAAAAGAGUGGGAAGAUUUUAUAGUAGAGGUGACAGACCUAACGAGCUUAGCGAUAGCUGGUUACCCUAAAAAAGGAUUUUAGUCCUACUUAAAAGUUUAAAUUGACCUGUUAAUCUUAUCUUUUAAAGCUAUUCAAACAAGGUACAGCCUGUUUGAAAGAGGAUACAACCUUAAUUAUUGGGUCAACAUGUAAUAUUUUCAGGAAAGUGGGCCUAAAAGCAGCCAUCUUUAAUAAAAGCGUCAAAGCUUCUCUGCCCUAAAAAUUUAAUCCCAUUUUUACCCUCAACCCCUUACUUUCUCUACAGGGUAACUCUAUACCUCUAUAGAAGUUUUUAUGUUAAAACUAGUAAUAAGAAUAUCUAUUCUCUUCUAACGCAAGCUUAUAUCAGCCAGGAUACCCCCCUGAUAAUUAACGUUUUUAAUAAAAAAGUAGUAACAAAACAAGAAAAACCUACUAAAAUUUACGUUUACCUAACACUAGAGCGUUACAAGAAAGAUUAAAAGAAAAAGAAGGAACUCGGCAAACAUUAGUCUCGCCUGUUUACCAAAAACAUCGCCUCUUGCUUAAAAAUAAGAGGUACAACCUGCCCAGUGACAUUGUUUAACGGCCGCGGUACCCUAACCGUGCGAAGGUAGCGUAAUCACUUGUUCUUUAAUUGAGGACUAGUAUGAAUGGCUUAACGAAGACUAUACUGUCUCCUUUUUCUAAUCAAUGAAACUAAUCUCCCCGUGAAGAAGCGGGGAUAAAUUUAUAAGACGAGAAGACCCUAUGGAGCUUUAAACAACCGAAAUAUCUGCUUUUCAACUCUAUUUACCUCCCGAGAAUUAAAUUUACUCUAAGCACUUUAAUUUCUAGUUUUAGGUUGGGGUGACCACGGAGCAAAAAUUAACCUCCACGCUGAAAUUUGAGCCCACUUCUUAGCUUUAAAAUCACAAUUUUAAACAUCAACAUAUUGACUUCCAUUGACCCAAUUUUUUGACCAACGAACCAAGUUACCCUAGGGAUAACAGCGCAAUCUACUUCAAGAGUUCUUAUCGACAAGUAGGCUUACGACCUCGAUGUUGGAUCAGGGUAUCCUAGUGGUGCAGCCGCUACUGAAG